GCGUUAAUCGGAAUUACUGGGCGUAAAGGGUGCGUAGGUGGUUUAAUAAGUUAGCUGUGAAAUUCCUGGGCUCAACCUAGGGCGGUCAGCUAAGACUGUUAGACUUUGAGUAUAGGAGAGGGUAGUGGAAUUUCCGGUGUAGCGGUGAAAUGCGUAGAGAUCGGAAGGAACACCAGUGGCGAAGGCGGCUACCUGGCCUGAUACUGACACUGAGGCACGAAAGCGU
rnacentral:rRNA from 1 species